ACAUAGUCAAUACUCUAGGUACUGUAUGAAGGGAGAAUAUGUGUAUGACAUACUCGUACCGCUCGUACAUUGGCUACAAGCGCCUUUCUCACCGUGAUUUGUAAACACUAUCCAUAGAAACGCCUAGUGAUGGCUGAGAAAGGUUCGAAGAAAUCUCCAACCAGGAUGGAUGCCACGGAGGAACUCUUACUGACCACAGGAGGACGUCUUGGUCGCCUUGUCAAUCAUGCUAAACGUGGUGUUGCAAACGCAACGACAAGACUGGUCGAUUAUAAUGGAUAGCCACGUCUUUGCCUUUUCAGCCCCAGUUUUGUUUUACCCAAACCAUGUUGACGUUAUAAGACAUAUUGAUGUGACCAACUUUCACAGCUUUUGACAUUGUUUUCAACAAUUUUUCUUUAAAAAAAACUGGUUUCGUUUGAAUUCUAAAGAUAAAACUAAACUGACCAUGAAACGAGUUCACUGAUGUACCGAAUACCUACUCAAAAUGGAGUAUUCAUUUUACAUCAGAUUUUAUUCCUUUCUUUUAAAACAUAAAUUGGAUAUAUUACAAAGAGAAGAGCUAAGAAAUGACUAGGGUAUCGAUGACUUCCGGGGAGGAAAAUACUAAUUGGUUAUAUAACCAACAGUAUUCCGGCCUUGAAAUGGUUUGUUAAAUUAAGCUUGGUUAUUGCGACUAACCCAUUAAAAGUGACACAAUA